GCAUUUGUUUUUCACUCUCCAUACUGUAAAUUGGUGCAGAAAUCGUUUGCUAGAAUUUUCCUAAAUGACUUUCUUCAAGAACCCUCACCAGACUUCUCUGGGAGAUAUGCUGGUCUGGAAUCUUUGAGGAAUUUGAAGCUGGAGGAGAGUUAUUUUGACCGCGAUGCAGAGAAAGCACUGAUGGCAGCCAGUAACUCGUUGUUUACACUGAAAACCAAGCCCUCCUUGUUGCUAGCCAAUCAAGUGGGGAACAUGUACACACCCUCUGUGUACGGAGGAUUAGCUUCCUAUUUACUGAGUGCUUCACCAUCAGAAUUAGUGGGACACAGAAUUGUGCUAUUUUCCUACGGCUCUGGACUAGCCUCGGCCAUGUUCUCUAUAAAAAUUACUAAAGACUUGGGACCAAAGUUAAAUAAACUUUUAGAAAAUCUGUCCAAUAUUUCAAAGAAUUUACAGAACAGAGUGAAAGUGUCACCAGAAGAGUUCGAUAAAACCAUGAAACUACGAGAGGAAACACAUAACAGAGGUCCCCCUACACCCCUGUGGGGUCUACUGAGGGACUGUUUCCUGGGACCUGGUUCCUGACCGAGGUUGACUCAAUGCACAGAAGGAAGUAUGACAGAGUACCACUAGUCCAAAUACCCAACGGAAAUCUACAACAGACAGGUGAUGUGAAGUGACAAAUGAAGUGUGUUAUUUGAUUGUCCCUCUAAUUAAACAUGUGAAAUGCUAUGGAUGUAAUAUUUAUAUUGAUUUACAGUAUUUAGAAGCAUAUUUGUGAAUGUUGUAUGAGAUACACAAAAAAUGCAUUUUUAACCCUUUAUCUGUAUUGCUUAUGCCUUUAGCAUUGAUUUUUUUUUCAAAUGAAUAUAUUUGUUAUAAUGCAAUAAAUUAAACUUGCAAUUG
rnacentral:misc_RNA from 1 species